AGUGAACGCUGGCGGCAGGCCUAACACAUGCAAGUCGAGCGGCAGCGGGUUCCCGCGAGGGGAUGCCGGGCGAGCGGCGGACGGGUGAGGAACACAUCGGAAUCUGCCUGGUUGUGGGGGAUAACGUAGGGAAACUUACGCUAAUACCGCAUGCGACCCUGAGUCGACGGACUGGGGGUGAAAGUGAGGGACCUUCGGGCCUCACGCGACCAGAUGAGCCGAUGUCGGGUUAGCAGUUGGCGGGGUAACGGCCCGCCAAGGCGACGAUCCGUAGC
rnacentral:rRNA from 1 species